rnacentral:tRNA from 1 species
GCCACCUUAGCUCAGUUGAUAGAGCAGCUGAUUUGUAAUCAGCAGGUCGUUGGUUUGAGUCCGACAGGUGGCU